CCGUCUUCAGCUCCUGAGCAACUUCGGCGCUUCGGCUCCCGUACUGCCGACUAUUCGGAUCUUUAGGGCAGAACACGAGACGGUCAACUCGCUGCUCCGCGGACCUGACUGCGUUCUGAGGUAAGGAAAGGAAAAGAAAGCGGGAAACACUGGAAAAAUAAACGAGUUCUUUCCUGUGAAGCCAAGGCCAUCUGCAUCAGGCACAUUGGAAGAUUGGACAUGCUUAAGAAGCCUCGAGGCCAACGCUCUGAUAUUCAACAUCAACACCCUUCUUGCUAGUGUAACCUAUCUACAGAAACAUAAGAAAAAAAUUUCCAUGUAAAAAAUGGUAAACGGCAGUUGAAGAAUAUCAACAAUUAUUGACAGUGAGACUUUUGAAAGGCUGCAAAUGAAUCAAAAAAAAAAAAAAAGCUAGAGAAGAAAAGAAGCAUCCAUAAUAUAGUCUCAUCUUCCAUAACUCUUACUACCAAAGUGCACGACUCAGGUAAACAACACAGAGAUCAUCUCAUACAAGCCCAAAGGAAGCAUGAAAGAAGCUGAACCUGAGCAUCAGGAGACCCUCUGAGACUUUGCCCUGGCUGUUCCGCUAACUGCCUAUGUGUGAUGAGUUGUCAAGUCUCCAGGGUCCCUCAACACUUGGAAUAAGGAAAUAGGAUCUUUCCCUCUGAGAGGUGAUGGGAUGGCCUUGAUGGAGAGUGAAUUCAUAGGAAAUUCACUUCUGGAAAGUUGCUUCUCACACUUGAAAAAUAUGUGCUUAAUCUUGGAAGAGCUUGAAGAAGUGUUUUGAUGCCCACAACAAGAGCAGAACUGUAGAAUAUCUUCCAAAAGCAACUUUUGAAAGAGUGGGGGAGGGGCAGAGAGCGAGGGAGACAGAAUCUGAAGCAGGCUCCGGGCUCUUAGCUGUCAGCACAGAGCCCAACGCGGGGCUCGAACUCACUAACCUUGAGAUCAUGACCUGGGCCGAAGUCAGAUGCUUAACUGACUGAGCUACCCAGGCGCCCCCCAAAAGGAACUUUUAAAGAAAACGUCAGCCUUUUUAUAAAAGCUCCACCCAAGCAACCUUAGAAACUCUCUUUUAGGACAUGGACCAUAUCAAACACUUGAGAUCUCCGGGUGGAUUUUAAGCACAUGUUUGCUGGAAGGGAAAUCUCAUUUGUAUCCAAUCCAAGUUCUGGUGUAACUUUUUGCUGCUGUUACCCUCAAAAUUUUUUAAUGUCUAUUUAUUUAUUUCUGAGAGAGAAGAGAGAGGCCGUGGGGGGAGGAGCAGAGAGAGACAGAGAAUCCCAAGUAGGCUCCAUGCUAUCAGCUUAGAGCCUGAUGCAGGGCUCAAACUCACAGACCGUGAGAUCAUAAUCUGAGCUGAAAUCAAGCACAACUGAAUGAGCUGCUCAUGUGCCCCUCCAUUUUUUUUCUUUAGGAGAGAAAAUGGAAUUUUAUUUGCAAUUUUUUUUCUGAGGUGUAACUGUAACAUGAGACAUGAACUAAAUAAGGAAUCUGACUGAACAUGGGAAGAAGGCUGGGGCCCAGAGGCAUAAAGGACUGGUUUGCUUGGGACUUUACUGCUGUGACAGCUAGAACAAAGGCAGAAUGGAAACCUGAGCCAAUUGAAAGUUAAAUAACAAGAAGACAAACUUUUACAGUAAAAUGAGAAAACCUUUGAGAAUGGAAAAGGAUGUCUAAAGAGUUGGCCCUAGAGGACAGCACCCUAGUUAAAAAAAAAAAAAAAAAAAAAAGGAGAUUAAACAGUUUAUCUUUUAAGGAAGGAGAAACCAGUUCUAAGAAACAAAGGUGCCUGGCACCGAAAUCAUGUGAUUUAAGAAACUACUGACUUAGCACGGAUAGGAGAUGACUAUAUGAGAUAUAACACAGAAACCAGGAAAAUUCUCUAUAUUAUGGUAUUAAGUUCGGGCUUAAUGUUCAUAGAGGGACGAUUAGUCAGCUACAUCUGUGGCCAGUAAUUGGUGCUAGAGAAAGCAACUGUGUGACUGACACCCAUUUUUCAUACACCCUGUGAAGCUGUGCAAGCCACUGAACUAUAAUAACCCUAGAAUUAUCUUAUAAAACCUCAGAAGAAGGGAUCGUGAAGGCAUUUGUACUUGGCAUGAUUAUAUUUCUCACUGAAACAAUACUUUUAAAAAAUGAUUACCCAUUUUUAAAAAAUAUUAAGAGGAAAACAA